UAUGUAACCUACCUUGUUCAGGGGGAUAGCCUCUCGAAAGAGAGAUUAAGACCGCAUAACGUUAUUGAAUGGCAUCAUUUAAUAACCAAAUAUUUAUAGGAACAAGAUGGGCAUGCGGAACAUUAGCUAGUUGGUAAGGUAACGGCUUACCAAGGCUACGAUGUUUAGGGGAUCUGAGAGGAUGACCCCCCACACUGGUACUGAGACACGGACCAGACUCCUACGGGAGGCAGCAGUAAGGAAUAUUGGUCAAUGGGCGGAAGCCUGAACCAGCCAUGCCGCGUGCAGGAAGACGGCCCUAUGGGUUGUAAACUGCUUUUAUACUGGAAUAAACCUUGAUUCGUGAAUCAAGCUGAAUGUACAGUAAGAAUAAGGAUCGGCUAACUCCGUGCCAGCAGCCGCGGUAAUACGGAGGAUCCAAGCGUUAUCCGGAUUUAUUGGGUUUAAAGGGUGC
rnacentral:rRNA from 1 species